rnacentral:sRNA from 1 species
UGCUGCCCUCGCCCGGCCCGGGGCGCCGCUGCCAUGCGGCUGGCGCUGCUCUGGGCCCUGGGGCUCCUGGGCGCGGGCAGCCCUCUGCCUUCCUGGCCGCUCCCAAAUAUAGGUGGCACCGAGGAGCAGCAGGCAGAGUCAGAGAAGGCCCCGAGGGAGCCCUUGGAGCCCCAGGUCCUUCAGGACCUCAAAAAGGUGCUUCAGACCAGUCUGCCUGAGCCCCUGAGGAUCAAGUUGGAGCUGGACGGUGACAGUCAUAUCCUGGAGCUGCUACAGAAUAGAGAGUUGGUCCCAGGCCGUCCAACCCUGGUGUGGUACCAGCCCGAUGGCACUCGGGUGGUCAGUGAGGGACACACUCUGGAGAACUGCUGCUACCAGGGAAGAGUGCAGGGAUAUGCAGGCUCCUGGGUGUCCGUCUGCACCUGCUCUGGGCUCAGAGGCUUGGUGGUCCUGACCCCAGAGAGAAGCUAUACCCUGGAGCAGGAGCCUGGGGACCUUCAGGGUCCUCCCAUUAUUUCGCGAAUCCAAGAUCUCCACCUGCCAGGCCACACCUGUGCCCUGAGCUGGCAGGAAUCUGUAUACACUCAGACUCCACCAGAGCACCCCCUGGGACAGCGCCACAUUCGCCGGUGGAGGCGGGAUGUGGUAACAGAGACCAAGACUGUGGAGUUGGUGAUUGUGGCUGAUCACUCGGAGGUGAGCCUGCUGGCCCCUGCACAUGCUCCUCCCCCUGCACUGCCCCGCCGCCUUUCGUGUCACCUCUCUUGGCCUACAGGUCCAGAAAUACCGGGACUUCCAGCACCUGCUAAACCGCACAUUGGAAGUGGCCCUCUUGCUGGACACAGUGAGUGCUGGACAGGGCAGCCCCCACCCCAGGCCCCUGACCAUGACAACCCCUCUUCUGAGCCCCAGCUGUCUUUCAGUUCUUCCGGCCCCUGAAUGUACGAGUGGCACUAGUGGGCCUGGAGGCCUGGACCCAGCGUGACCUGGUGGAGAUCAGCCCAAACCCAGCUGUCACCCUCGAAAACUUCCUCCACUGGCGCAGGGCACAUUUGCUGCCUCGAUUGCCCCACGACAGUGCCCAGCUGGUGACUGGUACUUCAUUUUCUGGGCCUACGGUGGGCAUGGCCAUUCAGAACUCCAUCUGUUCUCCUGACUUCUCAGGAGGUGUGAACAUGGACCACUCCACCAGCAUCCUGGGAGUCGCCUCCUCCAUAGCCCAUGAGUUGGGCCACAGCCUGGGCCUGGACCAUGAUUUGCCUGGGAAUAGCUGCCCCUGUCCAGGUCCAGCCCCAGCCAAGACCUGCAUCAUGGAGGCCUCCACAGACUUCCUACCAGGCCUGAACUUCAGCAACUGCAGCCGACGGGCCCUGGAGAAAGCCCUCCUGGAUGGAAUGGGCAGCUGCCUCUUUGAACGGCUGCCUAGCCUACCCCCUAUGGCGGCUUUCUGCGGAAAUACGUUUGUGGAGCCGGGCGAGCAGUGUGACUGUGGCUUCCCGAAUGACUGCGUCGAUCCCUGCUGUGAUUCCUCGACCUGCCAGCUGAGGCCAGGUGCACAGUGUGCAUCUGAUGGACCCUGUUGUCAAAAUUGCCAGCUGCGCCCGUCUGGCUGGCAGUGUCGUCCUACCAGAGGGGAUUGUGACUUGCCUGAAUUCUGCCCAGGAGACAGCUCCCAGUGUCCCCCUGAUGUCAGCCUAGGGGAUGGUGAGCCCUGCGCUGGCGGGCAAGCUGUGUGCAUGCACGGGCGUUGUGCCUCCUAUGCCCAGCAGUGCCAGUCACUUUGGGGACCUGGAGCCCAGCCCGCUGCGCCACUUUGCCUCCAGACAGCUAAUACUCGGGGAAAUGCUUUUGGAAGCUGUGGGCGCAACCCCAGUGGCAGUUAUGUGUCCUGCACCCCUAGAGAUGCCAUUUGUGGGCAGCUCCAGUGCCAGACAGGUAGGACCCAGCCUCUGCUGGGCUCCAUCCGGGAUCUACUCUGGGAGACAAUAGAUGUGAAUGGGACUGAGCUGAACUGCAGCUGGGUGCACCUGGACCUGGGCAGUGAUGUGGCCCAGCCCCUCCUGACUCUGCCUGGCACAGCCUGUGGCCCUGGCCUGGUGUGUAUAGACCAUCGAUGCCAGCGUGUGGAUCUCCUGGGGGCACAGGAAUGUCGAAGCAAAUGCCAUGGACAUGGGGUCUGUGACAGCAACAGGCACUGCUACUGUGAGGAGGGCUGGGCACCCCCUGACUGCACCACUCAGCUCAAAGCAACCAGCUCCCUGACCACAGGGCUGCUCCUCAGCCUCCUGGUGUUAUUGGUCUUGGUGAUGCUUGGUGCCAGCUACUGGUACCGUGCCCGCCUGCACCAGCGACUCUGCCAGCUCAAGGGACCCACCUGCCAGUACAGGGCAGCCCAAUCAGGUCCCCCUGAACGGCCAGGACCUCCGCAGAGGGCCCUGCUGGCGCGAGGCACUAAGCAGGCUAGUGCUCUCAGCUUCCCGGCCCCCCCUUCCAGGCCGCUGCCGCCUGACCCUGUGUCCAAGAGACUCCAGGCUGAGCUGGCUGACCGACCCAAUCCCCCUACCCGCCCUCUGCCCGCUGACCCGGUGGUGAGAAGCCCGAAGUCUCAGGGGCCAGCCAAGCCCCCACCCCCAAGGAAGCCACUGCCUGCCGACCCCCAGGGCCGGUGCCCAUCGGGUGACCUGCCCGGCCCAGGAGCUGGAAUCCCACCCCUAGUGGUACCCUCCAGACCAGCGCCACCGCCUCCGACAGUGUCCUCGCUCUACCUCUGACAUCUCUGGACGUUCCGCUGCCUCCAAGCCGGACUUAGGGCUUCAAGAGGCGGGCGUGCCCUCUGGAGUUCCCUACCAUGACUGAAGGCGCCAGAGACUGUAUGCGGUGUCUUAAGGCUCCGGGCACCGCCACGCGCUGUCAAGCAGCACUCUGCGGACCUGCCGGCGUAGUUGCAGCCGGGGCUUGGGGAGGGGCUGGGGGUUGGACAGGGUUGAGGAAGGUCCGCACAGCCUGUCUCUGCUCAGCUGCAAUAAACGUGACAUCUUGG